rnacentral:piRNA from 1 species
GAAUGUAAGCUCCUCAAGAGCAGGGAC